GCACUAUUGGGUUAGUGGUAAACUUGGUCGUUGCCAUCUUCCGAUAGAUUCGACCAGCCCCGGUUCGAUUCCGGGAUAGUGCA
rnacentral:tRNA from 1 species